rnacentral:rRNA from 1 species
UACGUAGGGUGCAAGCGUUGUCCGGAAUUAUUGGGCGUAAAGAGCUCGUAGGCGGUUUGUCGCGUCGAAUGUGAAAACCCGGGGCUCAACCCCGGGCCUGCAUUCGAUACGGGCAGACUAGAGUUCGGUAGGGGAGUCUGGAAUUCCUGGUGUAGCGGUGAAAUGCGUAGAGAUCGGAAAGAACACCAACGGCGAAAGCACUCUGCUGGGCCGACACUGACACUGAGAGACGAAAGCUAGGGGAGCGAAUGGG